UCCGGAGUAGCUCAAUGGUGGAGCAAGAUGCUGUUAACAUCGAGGUUGCCGGUUCGAGCCCGGCCUCCGGAGCCA
rnacentral:tRNA from 1 species